UGGCUCAGUGGUUAAGAGCAUUGACUGCUCUUCCAAAGGUCCUGAGUUCAAAUCUCAG
rfam:Mus musculus chromosome 4, GRC primary reference assembly.